rnacentral:misc_RNA from 1 species
CAUGAGACCCAUUUCAUUGUUCAAGAUACUAAAGGCGUAGGCACUUUCCUGGGUCAUAUAACUCGUAUCCUGACAUACUGAUCCUGUAUGCUAACGUAUAUGAUUUGUUUGUACAUUGCGUCCCCAUUCUUUGUGGGUAAAAACAACGAUCUGACCAAACGGAAGCACUUAACAUUGACUCUUUUCUCAAAAAGAUGCUUUACAUGUAUUCAGUAGUACAAUAACACAGUCGUAAAUACUUGAAUGUUAAAUGCUAAAAACGGGCAAUUAGAAUUGCAUAGUCUCAGAUGGUAGACCUAGAGAGGGAUAGAUUGUUUUUAUUAUUUUCCUUGCAUACAUAUUGUGAUGAAAAACAAACAGAAUGAGACUGUGCAGGAGCAGUACAUUCACGGAUUCCAUUUUUUCGAGUAUCACUUGGAUCGCUUUGCUGACUCAUCAGUCAUAAGACAUCUUCAAUGUUUCACAAUGACCGGUUCAAAUAUUUGGUAUACUUCCUUCAUGAUCAAACUUUACCAAAUAAGCUUAAUUUAAGAUAUAAAAUAAAUUACAUAUAAUAAACAAAAUAGUCCUGGCAAGGCGGAAGGAAAACAAAUGCAAAUACUCUGCAAAGAUGAACGCUGCAAAACCACAUAAAAUAAGAUAUUUCGAUCCGACCGAGGAUGUCAAAAUCUUUUCUUGUUGUGCACGUUUUUAAGAUGCUACACCCAUCAUAUCUUUUGUGUGUUUUAAUGCGAACUUGAAUUACGUAAUGAAAUCUUAAAAUAUUUUGUAACUUACUUAAAUGUUCUGGCAGCGUACAAUUAAUAAAUACGAUUUGAAAUUUUAUUGCUGAGAAUCUUUCAAAGUUUUAUGACAGAACCUUUAUGAUUCUUCUAAGGUUUCAGACACUAUAUAUAAGAGUGUCACUUAACAAGAGAAUUCAAAGUUGGUUUUACUCUCGCAGUUAUAUAUUCACGUGGACAUAGCAAUUAUUGUUUUGUUGACUACAAAACAUUGUCAGAUCUUAAAAUGAAGGUUAGCGCACUCCUCGUUGUGAUGCUCGUGUUUGGAUUGGUAAUUACCACACCAGAAGUUGUGAGCGCUAAAGAUGCAGGAGCAAAGAAAUCAGAUGAGGACGCCAAAGAAGGACCGAGAACAAUCUAAAUAACGGCUUAUAAAAGCAAAAAACACGUGCAGCCUUUCUCACUUACGUCGUAGUCUACCUGUAAAGAACAUCGAGCUUAAACUUUUCAUAAACUUUUCCUCUGUUACUGAAAUUUACUCUGGUUCUAAUGCCGCGUGGGCGAGUUAGACAACGAGGCGGCAGGGCAAGACGGCCGGCUAGGGCAAACAGAAAUGCGAACGGCCAGCAGAACGAAGCAGGCGGCCAGCAGAAUGAAGCAGAACAGGUCAAUAACCAUCCAAAUACCCGUGGGCAGAAACGUAGGGCCGAUGACAUUGAGCACGCUGAAAGGACACCGCCACAUGGUCCUGCAGAGCCACCAGAUAUAGAUGACGGAGGUAGCAUAUUAUUACAGGAAAAUGCCGACGUGUGGGUCCUGGGCGAUUAGAUCCCGUUUUGGGCUGGUAAACGAGCAGCAGACACCGGUAAACCCAACCUGUCAUUACCCGAGAUAACUAUAGCCUGGUGGGGAAUAAGCGGACUACGAUGGACCUCACUUCACCAUUCAGUACAGACUCAAGUGUUACUGUCAUCGCCAUCAAGGGCUAUCAUCUUACAUUUAGGUGGUAACGAUUUGACAAGUUUAUCCUCUAUCCAGCCAAGGAAGCUAAUAGAGACAGACGUGAAAUAUUUACGUGAUGCCUUCCCCCAGACAAUUAUCAUUUGGGCCGAUAUUUUACCAAGGAGCGGGGCCUGUAAUGUCAAAGCUAUUGAAGUGAAACUCAAACGAAUAAAUAGCACGGGCCAGAUUAUUACAAGUCGGUCUGGCAAGAGUAAUAUAGUGAGCCCAGAUAUUGAUACGGCUACUAAUUUUUUUUCAGUUCUGACGGGGUCCAUUUAAAUGAGAUGGAGGUAAACGUACAGGUCAGGAAAAGACUAACGAAGGCAAUAAUAAUGGCAUUGGCUAUGUUGGCUAUCGAUUUGAGCCUCAAGUAGGCAGUAGCGACGAGUUAAGUGAAAGUGAUGAGAGUGAAUCCGACGGCGGACCAGAGAUCGGAAUAAGAAAUCUAAGAAUGGACAAUUUAGAUUGUUCAGUUGUAGUAACUGGCUACUAACUGCAUCAUUAUGAGAACAGAGACUGUGAGAACAUCUGUUGCAGAGAGAUCCAGAAUGUGCUUACCAAGGAAGAAGGUGACAAUAUUGUAGAGAAAUGCAUAUGUAAGCACCCUAAGUUCAACACCCUAU